AUGUCUACAUCUCAGACCACGUUGUCGACUAUGUACCGAGAUGCCAGUGUCAAGGCCGUGGCGAAAGCAUCGCCUAGGCAGACGACUUACGAAGACAUCCCUAAGUUUCCUUAUGGAUAUCAUGAUGAGGAGGAUGCUCCCAAGCCUGGCUUUUUGUGGUCUGGCUCCCAGAUACGGCCAGCGUGGGCACCCAAGAACUACAAGGACUUGAAACUGGAACAUAGUUUUUUACCAACGACCCCCAACAAAUAUCAACUCAAGAACCUCUUCAACCAGGUGCGUUACCAUUUCAACAGAUCGUCUCCCCUGGCAUUUGAGGGCGAUUCAGCUGUCAAUGGUGCUUAUACUACCAGAUAUCCGUUACCACCUUCUAGCCCGCCAGCGGCAAAAGACACGUAUUACAUAAUCAGAAUGCGAACCCGAGGGAUUAAAAAAACCGGCCGUCCGCGAGUAUUUUUUGAAUUUUUGUUUAAAGACGAGGACAAUUAUCUUAUUGCGUGGAGGGUCUUGACGACGCCGGAGCAAUGUAAAACGGCCCAUUGGUUAUUUUUUAGAGACACGGUGAUCCAUAUGAAUGAUGAACCUUUCAAAGAUAUGGCACAGAAAUGCAAUUAUCCCAGUGCCUACGCCCAUGAGCUGCAAGAAGUGGAAAUACACAGGACAGUGUUGGAGGACAUUGAGAUCUUCCUCAGGGAUCUCUACGCGAAUCCUUUGCAGAAGACACAUGCUCAAGGCUCCUUGUAUUUUCACACACUGUUCGUAUUGUUUGGAGAAUGCCCGCGUUUCGCCCCCGUAGAUGAUAACUCUGCUGGCAGCAUCACGAAACACCAAAGAUGUGUUGAUCCUCUAGGCACAGGUUGUCUCUAUGAUCUUAUAAAAUGCUGGAAGAAGAUUUCGUUCACCAUCUUAUUACUCAAGCUGCUGCUUGUGGAGGAAUCCAUGAUUGCUGGUAUCAAGCAGGCAAAGCCCCAUUUCUGUGAUUCUCGGAAGGUCAGUCCUCAGUUUCAGGAUCUCUUUGAAGAGGCAAAGCUGCACAGAAAGAAGAUUCUGGAAAGGCUGGCUUCUUUGUAUAAGGAUGCAAAGGGCCUUGACUUGUUUGCUGCUUUGAACAAGCAAGUUAUUGAGGCUGACGGUGAUGUGGGCGACGCAACCUUGCAGCGAAUGGUCACUCGCUUCCUUCACCUCGUCAGGUUCGACAAAGACCUUGUGCCAGCUAUACUGGUGAGACAGGAUGACUUUCAGGGUGGGCUCCGUUUGAAAUUUUAG
rnacentral:rRNA from 1 species